CUCAGUGGCGAACGGGUGGGUAACGCGUUGGUGACCUGCCCCGGAGAGAGGGAUAACAGAUCGAAAGGUCUGCUAAUACCGCAUGAAAUGCCUGGAGUUAGAGACUGGGCAUCAAAGGAGAAAUCCGCUCUGGGAGGGGCCUGCGUCCCAUCAGCUAGUUGGUGAGGUAAAAGCCCACCAAGGCGAUGACGGGUAGGGGACCUGAGAGGGUGGCCCCCCACAAUGGAACUGAAACACGGUCCAUACACCUACGGGUGGCAGCAGUAGGGAAUAUUGCUUAAUGGGCGAAAGCCUGAAGCAGCAACGCCGCGUGUGCGAUGAAGGCCUUCGGGUUGUAAAGCACUUUUCGAGGGGAUGAGGAAGGACAGUACCCUUGGAAUAAGUCUCGGCUAACUACGUGCCAGCAGCCGCGGUAACACGUAGGAGGCGAACGUUAUCCGGAUUUACUGGGCGUAAAGCGCGUGUAGGUGGUUUGGUAAGUAGGGCGUGAAAGCUCCCGGCUCAACUGGGAGAGGCCGUUCUAAACUGCCAAGCUAGAGGAUGGUAGAGGGAGGUGGAAUUCCGGGUGUAGCGGUGGAAUGCGCAGAUAUCCGGAGGAACACCAGUGGCGAAAGCGGCCUCCUGGGCCACUCCUGACACUCAGACGCGAAAGCUAGGUAGCAACGGGAUUAGAGACCCCGGUAGUCCUAGCCCUAACGAUGUAGACUUGGCGUCGGUGGUUUAAACGCAUCGUGUCGCAGCUAACGCGAUAGUCUACGCCUGGGACUACCGCCGCAAGGUAAACUCAAGGAAUGAC
rnacentral:rRNA from 1 species